GACGAACGCUGGCGGCGUGCUUAACACAUGCAGGUCGAACGGUGAACUCCGCUUGCGGGGGGAUCAGUGGCGAACGGGUGAGUGACACGUGGGCAACCUGCCCUCAGCGCUGGGAUAACUCCAAGAAAUUGGGGCUAAUACCGGAUAUGACUGCUGACCGCAUGGUCUGGUGGUGGAAAGAUUUAUCGGCUGGGGAUGGGCCCGCGGCCUAUCAGCUUGUUGGUGGGGUAGUGGCCUCCGAAGGCGCCGACGGGUAGCCGGCCUGAGAGGGUGACCGGCCACACGGGGACUGAGACACGGCCCAGACUCCGACGGGAGGCAGCAGUGGGGAAUAUUGCGCAAUGGGCGGAAGCCUGACGCAGCGACGCCGCGUGGGGGAUGACGGCCUUCGGGUUGUAAACCUCUGUCACCCAUGACGAAGCGAAAGUGACGGUAGUGGGAGAAGAAGCACCGGCCGACUACGUGCCAGCCGCCGCCGUAAAAC
rnacentral:rRNA from 1 species